AAUGCUGGGAUUUGAGUUUUCCAGAUGACAAUCCCCCAAAUUAAAUGCCUUGUGAUUCUUGCCCCCUGCCAGUCAGCUCUCCAAAGAAAGGGCACCAAGCAUUGCACAUCUGCCAUAUCUGUGUUCUUAUAGCUUCACUCUUUCAGGGAAUAGGGUGAGAAAAGAGCCCAUCCUGGCACUCACCACUAAUUUUACUCCAGAAAUGGAACACAAGUAGCAUCAACAGCAGAACUAACUUAAACCUAAGAAUCAACUGACAAGAGAUUGAGCUGAUUAUUCAUCAC
rnacentral:lncRNA from 1 species